CAGUCGCCGCGGGAAUACGAAGGGGGCUAGCGUUGUUCGGAAUUACUGGGCGUAAAGGGCGCGUAGGCGGCCAUUCAAGUUAGAUGUGAAAGCCCUGGGCUCAACCUAGGAAUUGCAUUUGAUACUGUUUGGCUUGAGUGUGGAAGAGGGUUGUGGAAUUCCCAGUGUAUAGGUGAAAUUCGUAGAUAUUAGCUAGAACACCAGUGGCGAAGGCGGCCAACUGGUCCGAUACUGACGCUGAGGUGCGAAAGCGUGGGGAGCAAACAGGAUUAGAUACCCCGGUAGUCCCUGUCUCUUAUAC
rnacentral:rRNA from 1 species